GAGUUAGGGGACAACCAGGAAACUAUGAUCAUGGUCCUUAAAUGAUGAAAGAAAAUCAAGGAAUACAGAGUGAUCAUUUUUGUUAUAUAUAUCUGAUGGCUUUUUGCCUGAAUUCAUCAAUGGAGACUUUGAUUCUAUUAGGCCUGAAGUCAGAGAAUACUACGCUACUAAGGGAUGUGAGCUCAUUUCAACUCCUGAUCAAGACCACACUGACUUUACUAAGUGCCUUAAAAUGCUCCAAAAGAAGAUAGAAGAAAAAGACUUAAAGGGAAAGCACAGAUUGCAUGUAGACACCGGAAUGGAGGGUGAUUGGUGUGGCCUUAUCCCUGUUGGACAGCCUUGUAUGCAGGUUACAACCACAGGCCUCAAGUGGAACCUCAGAACUUGUGACUACACUAGGACCACCUGGAUAGCCAAGGAUAAUCCCGUCCCAAGACUAA
rnacentral:sRNA from 1 species